CCGAAAUUUAAAACUCACAACGCGAGUCUCGUGCGGAAGCAAAUAUGACUGCCGAGACUUUGUGACUCUUCAAGUCUUCCUUUGCUCAAGUCAAACCACACUCGUGAAGCACAUGUGACGAGUCUGUGGUGAGCAUCGGGAGCACUGCGUUUCCUUCGGGAUUCACAGUCUAAAAAACGAAUUGUAAAAGUAAUAUAUCAAACGAAUUGUAAAAGUAAAUAUAUAAACAAAAAAAGACGAAAAAAUCAACCUCGAGUGGUGGAUCACUUGGCUCGUGGGUCGAUGAAGAACGCAGCUAACUGCGUGCAGACGUGUGAACUGCAGGACACAUGAACACCGACGUUUUGAACGCAUAUGGCGGCCUGGCAGAAAUUUCAGGCCAUGUCUGGCUGAGGGUCGGAUAUGAAAACUAAACCAAAGUUGCAGUGUAAAGACUGCACUAAUCGCCGAGUUUUCAAUGGUUUCACAACUGGAAAGCUCGGUUAGUUGAUGUGACGGAACAUGAGUUUUAGAGCCUGUUCUGCUCAAGUACUGAGAAUUUUUCAAAGACUUGUUGCAAGUUCGACUCGUUAAAAAAGACCAUAGUUUCCGCACAAAAUUCUCUCAAGACUCUUUGGAGUUCAAGAGGAAUUCAUUGUUGCGACCUCAGAGCAGGCAAGAUUACCCGCUAAAUUUAAGCAUAUCAAUAAGCGGAGAUCGCGUACUUGGUCACUUAGAGGAAGUAAAAGUCGUAACAAGGUCUCCGUUGGUGAACCAGCGGAGGGAUCAUUACCGAGUUUACAACUCCCAAACCCCUGUGAACAUACCCUUAUGUUGCCUCGGCGGAUCAGCCCGCGCCCCGUAAAACGGGACGGCCCGCCAGCAGGAACCCUAAACUCUGUUUCUUAGUGGAACUUCUGAGUAUAAAACCAUAAAUAAAUCA
rnacentral:misc_RNA from 1 species